rnacentral:rRNA from 1 species
GCCAGACUCCUACGGGAGGCAGCAGUGGGGAAUAUUGCACAAUGGGGGAAACCCUGAUGCAGCAACGCCGCGUGAGUGAAGAAGUCAUUCGUGAUGUAAAGCUCUAUCAGCAGGGAAAAAAAUGACGGUACCUGAGUAAGAAGCCACGGCUAACUACGUGCCAGCAGCCGCGGUAAUACGUAGGUGGCAAGCGUUGUCCGGAUUUACUGGGUGUAAAGGGCGUGUAGCCGGGCUGACAAGUCAGAUGUGAAAUCCGGGGGCUCAACCCCCGAACUGCAUUUGAAACUGUUGGUCUUGAGUAUCGGAGAGGCAGGCGGAAUUCCUAGUGUAGCGGUGAAAUGCGUAGAUAUUAGGAGGAACACCAGUGGCGAAGGCGGCCUGCUGGACGACAACUGACGGUGAGGCGCGAAAGCGUGGGGAGCAAACAGGAUUAGAUACCCCGGUAAUC